GGGCGGAUAGCUCAGUGGAAGAGCACCUGCUUUACACGCAGGGGGUCGUAGGUUCGAACCCUACUUCGCCCA
rnacentral:tRNA from 2 species